rnacentral:lncRNA from 1 species
ACCGCUCCCUACGAAGCUUUUUGAUUUGAAACGUCUCACGAGUCAAUUACCAUACCACCAUGAAAGCAAAUAGUGUAAUUAGAUCAGGCAUGAUAAACCUAUUCUGUGCCAGAAAUUGAUUUUGAAAUUCAUAUAAAUGCUUCAAAGGUUGAUAUGCUUGAUAUUUAUAUUUUUGUAAUUAAGCCUUAAAUUAGAUCGGUCUAUACAAUAAUAUUUCAAAAUUGUAUAACAACUUGAUUCAAUAUCCUUGGCCU